rnacentral:lncRNA from 1 species
GGCUGAUCCCUUUCGCUAUAUGGCGUGCUCGUUUGGGUUGGGAGUCGGCUAAGAGUACUCAGAGCGUGGAUUAACUCUAGUCUCCUAUCAGGUGUGUAUUUCUCACUACUCUAGCUAUAGGAUGGCUACUUCGGGCCGCGAUGGGCCGGAAGGGCCAUGUGGGCCCAAUGGGCCUACGGGCCCAAUUGGAUAAGUUGUUUGAUUGUGUAGUAAAUAUUGGACUAGGCUAGGUGAAUCUCAUAUUUGUGGCUAGAUUUGGGCUAAAAGGGCCACACGAGCGUGUGGGCCCAUUUGGGCCGAGAAUAGGCUUUAAGCUCAUUCGUAUUGUUAUCCCUGUUUAGAAUACUUUAGUUUACCAAAUUACUGAAAUGCUCUCGAUUUGUAGAAUUAUCGUUUUACCCUCAAUUUAUAGAAUUACCGUUUUACCCUCGAUUUACAGAAUUAUCGUUUUACCCUCAAUUUACAGAAUUACCGUUUUACCCUCGAUUUACAGAAUUGCUGUUUUACCCUCGAUUUACAGAAUUACCAUUUUACUCUCGAUUUACAGAAUUACCAUUUUACCCUUAAUUUGUAGAAUUACUGUUUUACCCUUGAUUUACAAAAUUACUAAAAUACCCUUGGUUUACAAAAUUACCAAAAUACCCUCGAUCAGUAAAAUUACCAAAAUACCCUGGUCUGUAAAAUUGCUAAAAUACCCCUGGUUUAUAAAAUUACCAAAAUACCCCUAGUUUGUAAAGUUACCAAAAUACCAUUGGUUUGUGAAAUUACCGAAAUACCCUCAAUUUGUAAAAUUACCAAAAUACCCCUAAUUUACAAAAUUACAGAAAUACCCUUGACUUUCUAAAAAUUAUAGAAAUACCAUUAGUUUACAAAAUUACUAAAAUACCCUUGGUUUGUAGAUUUACCAAAACACCCUUGUAGGAUGAAAUGACUACAAUACCCCUAAUAGGUAAAAAUACCGUAAAGCCCCUGUAGGGUAAAGAGACCGUAAUACCCUUGUAUGGUAAAAUGACGAAUAUGCCCUUAUGUUCCGUAUGACUGAUGUGCUUAGGAUUUACAUAUAUUGAUAUUAGAUUAGUUAAGUUUGAGUGACAGGUGGUGGUUAUCGUAGGUGAUUGAUUAUGGAAACGUUUCAACUUCAACCCAUAACAGGUGUGUACUAACCCUCGUAAUAGCUUAGAUUAAUAUUUGCUGAGAAGCCGAAAUGCUAAAAUAUCGGUAUUUCAGGAACUUGUAAUGUUGCGUUUGGGUAUAGAUGCGAUAUAUACGAUAUGAUCGGUGUUUGGAUCGAUGGAACAGACAAGAACUCAAUUUUGUGCACGAUGGUAAGUUGGGCCUCAAUGGGCUGGAAUCGGGCCCAAUGGGCUUCGGCCCCAUUUGGGUAAAAUUGAUAGAAAAUGGAAUCUGGCAAAGUUGCAUGUUAACACAGUUAGUACUGCUGUAAAAUUUGGAUUAUGUGGGCUUAAUGGGCUAAAUCGGCAUUCGUAGGGCCCAUUAGAGGUUUUGGGCCCAAAAGCCCGAGUUUUAUAAAGUAGGUUAAAGAUCAUUGUUUAAACACUCGGAAAUAUUGAUAAUUGUUAAUGAACAUGGAAAACCCUGAUAUUUGGUAAAAUUACGAAAUUACCCUUAUAAUGUGAAAAUAAUUGUUUUGCCCCUAGGUAAAAAUGACCAUUAUACCCCUAGGGUUUAAUUAUAAAUUUGAUACGUGGGGUAUGAUAUACAUGAUUGAUAUGAUAUGCACAUGAUAUGCAUGAUAUGCACAUGAUAUGUAUGAAAUGCACAUGAUGAAUUCAUAAAUGCAUUGGGUUGGGUUUUUAUAUGGAUGGAGGAAGUGCAAAAGGGCUUAUGCCCUAGUUUAUUGAAAAGGGCUUAUGCCACAGUUUACCGAAAAGGGCUUAUGCCCCAGUUUAUUAAAAAGGGCUUAUGCCCCAGUUUAUUGAAAAGGGUUUUGCCCCAGUUUACCGAAAAGGGCUUUGCCCCAGUUAUUAAAAAGGCUAGGCCUCCAGAUAUAUGAUAAAGCAGCUAUGCUGCCAGUGAUGUGUUGGUUGGGUGGGUUGAGUUAUUCCCCACAUGGUGUGUUGGCUGGUGCGGGUGGAGAGUAGUGGAUAGUGGGUUGAGUAGUCUCCCCAAAUGGGCUUGCACACAUUCAUUGGUAUUUCAGGUGAUAUUGAAAUGGGCUUGCAUACAUUCAUUGAUAUUUCAUGUGUUAUUGAAAUGGGCCUAUGGGCCAUACCGUUUACAAUAAAGGCUUCGGCCCAGUGAUAUGAUUUAUGAAAAGGCUUUGGCCCAGUGAUUUGAUUUAUGAAAAGGCUUCGGCCCAGUAACCGUUAAAUGAAAGGCUUCGGCCUAGUAUAUGUCGAGACUGAAUAGGGCUUUGGCCCAGAUUGUACUGAUACUGUGUUUUCACUGUUUGUUUGUUAUUGGGAUUACACACUGAGUUUUCGUAAACUCACCCCAUUUCUAACAGUGCAGGUAAUCCCUAAGCUUAGAUGGUUUGGAGCUAUGAGGGACUCGGAGAUGGCCACACUACUAUUUCUGUUUCUUUUAAUUGCAAUAAGUAGCCGAUUUAUUUCUUUAUAAGUUUUAUCUUAUUAAUAUUAUUGUUUGGUUUUGGGUUGUAAUAAGGCCAUUUUAAUUAUUUUUCUAGGA